CACGUAGGGGGCGAGCGUUGUCCGGAAUCAUUGGGCGUAAAGAGCGUGUAGGCGGCCCGAUAAGUCCGCCGUGAAAGUCCAGGGCUCAACCCUGGAAUGCCGGUGGAAACUGUCGGGCUGGAGUCCGGAAGAGGCGAGUGGAAUUCCUGGUGUAGCGGUGAAACGCGCAGAUAUCAGGAGGAACACCAAUGGCGAAGGCAGCUCGCUGGGACGGUACUGACGCUGAGACGCGAAAGCGUGGGGAGCAAACAGG
rnacentral:rRNA from 1 species